GAUGAAGAACGUAGCGAAAUGCGAUAAGUAAUGUGAAUUGCAGAAUUCAGUGAAUCAUCGAGUCUUUGAACGCACAUUGCGCCCCCUGGUAUUCCGGGGGGCAUGCCUGUCCGAGCGUCAUUGCUGCCCUCAAGCACGGCUUGUGUGUUGGGCUCCGCCCCCUUCCCGGGGGGCGGGCCCGAAAGGCAGCGGCGGCACCGCGUCCGGUCCUCGAGCGUAUGGGGCUUUGUCACCCGCUCUGUAGGCCCGGCCGGCGCCCGCCGGCGACCCCAAUCAAUCUUUCCAGGUUGACCUCGGAUCAGGUAGGGAUACCCGCUGAACUUAAGCAUAUCAAUAGCGGAGGA
rnacentral:misc_RNA from 1 species